rnacentral:rRNA from 1 species
AUACGUAGGUGACAAGCGUUAUCUGGAUUUAUUGGGUUUAAAGGGUGCGUAGACUGUUCGGAAAGUCAGGGGUGAAAGCCCGGCGCCUAACGCCGGAACUGCCUUUGAUACUUCCGAGCUGGAAUACGGAUGCCGUGGGAGGAAUGAGUAGUGUAGCGGUGAAAUGCAUAGAUAUUACUCAGAACACCGAUUGCGAAGGCAUCUCACGAAUCCGUCAUUGACGCUGAGGCACGAAAGCGUGGGGAUCAAACAGGAUUAGAUACCCUGGUAGUCCACGCAGUAAACGAUGAUGACUAACCGUCGGCGAUACACAGUCGGUGGCCAAGCGAAAGCGAUAAGUCAUCCACCUGGGGAGUACGUUCGCAAGAAUGAAACUCAAAGGAAUUGACGGGG